rnacentral:rRNA from 1 species
UGAUACGACUAUAUCACACAUAGUUUCGGGAUGAAGUCGAUGGUUGUUGACUAAAUUUCUGAAGACUUUCACUAGGCAACUAGUAUUUUGAACACGGCUUCCUUGGGUUUCUAAGACUAAAUGAGCAGUUUGAUGAGUCCGUGACUGCAAAGAUUCUAGUCGGUAGAGUCGCUAUACUAGCUUGAUUCGGGAAAGAAAGACCCGCUGUGGCGCCCAACAAAAACACACAUUUUACAAUUAUUUACUAUAAUACGAAGAAAAUAAGCUAUAUCGGUGGAUCACUUGGCUCGUAGAUCGAUGAAGAACGCAGUGAAUUGCGUUAAGAAUCACAAAUUACAGAUAUUAUGAGUGACAUAUUUUCGAUUGCAUAUUGCACCGUUGGGCAUUUGUUCAUCGGUAUACCCAGCUCACGGUGUGAUUCUAAAAAGUCAUAUUAUACUUAUAGUUAGUACAAUGCAUAUUUUUAUGAUUGUAUGGGAUUAAUGUGAGAUAUUCACUAUUGAAAGUGAAGUUUUAUAGCUUAUGUUUGGAUUUUUUCAAUAAAUUUGGCGAGGAAAUUCUUAUAAACGCUUUAAAACACUAUGCACUACCAAUUAUUGGUUAAAUCCACCUGAGUUGUGUAUGACUACCGGCUG